ACUCCUACGGGAGGCAGCAGUGGGGAAUAUUGGACAAUGGGGAACCCGUAGAUCCAGCCAUGCCGCGUGUGUGAAGAAGGCCUUCGGGUUGUAAAGCACUUUCAGUGGGGAGGAAAGGUUGAUGGUUAAUACCUAUCAGCUGUGACGUUACCCACAGAAGAAGCACCGGCUAACUCCGUGCCAGCAGCCGCGGUAAUACGGAGGGUGCGAGCGUUAAUCGGAAUUACUGGGCGUAAAGCGCAUGCAGGUGGUUUGUUAAGUCAGAUGUGAAAGCCCGGGGCUCAACCUCGGAAUUGCAUUUGAAACUGGCAGACUAGAGUACUGUAGAGGGGGUAGAAUUUCAUGGUGUAGCGGUGAAAUGCAGUAGAGAUCUGAAGGAAUACCGGUGGCGAAGGCGGCCCCUGGACCAGAUACUGACACUCAGAUGCGAAAGCGUGGGGAGCAAACAGGAUUAGGAU
rnacentral:rRNA from 1 species